rnacentral:rRNA from 1 species
AGUGAACGCUGGCGGUAGGCCUAACACAUGCAAGUCGAACGGCAGCACAGUAAGAGCUUGCUCUUACGGGUGGCGAGUGGCGGACGGGUGAUGAAUACAUCGGAAUCUACUUUUUCGUGGGGGAUAACGUAGGGAAACUUACGCUAAUACCGCAUACGACCUACGGGUGAAAGCAGGGGAUCUUCGGACCUUGCGCGAUUGAAUGAGCCGAUGUCGGAUUAGCUAGUUGGCGGGGUAAAGGCCCACCAAGGCGACGAUCCGUAGCUGGUCUGAGAGGAUGAUCAGCCACACUGGAACUGAGACACGGUCCAGACUCCCACGGGAGGCAGCAGUGGGGAAUAUUGGACAAUGGGCGCAAGCCUGAUCCAGCCAUACCGCGUGGGUGAAGAAGGCCUUCGGGUUGUAAAGCCCUUUUGUUGGGAAAGAAAAGCAGCAGGUUAAUACCCCGCUGUUCUGACGGUACCCAAAGAAUAAGCACCGGCUAACUUCGUG